GAAAAAGCAGCCUGGUUCUAUAGGAUGGGCACCAGCAAACAGAUGGGAUUAGAAAAGGACAAAGAUACAGUAGUGGGUCUUACACAUCGGCAUGGAAAGGUCCAAGGAGAAGAGAGUCCCAGAGGCAACAGUUUUAUCAACUUUUCCUGCUGCCCAGAUGAUGGUUCAGCGAUAAAUAAAUGGAGUGUGCUUGCACUGGAGGCCUCCUACACACCGCUGCGGGCCAUCCCCACGCCUGUCCACGUGGGAAGGGGCUCUUGCACUGGCUGCAGCAGUGAGCCAGCAGCAAGAAUCACUUUCGCCUACCCAGGCAGCCUCUGAGACUUGUCGGCGUCAUAAAUCAGCCUGCUCAAAGGUAGCAGCCCGGCACAUGCCCCCUGAGCAGGGAAAAGAGCUUCAGGAUGCCCAGAGGCAGGUUACGGCGGCGAACAGCUGUGUAAAAUUCACACACCUCUGGCAAGGUGAGAAAGCACUGUUCCUGUGCUGGGUGGACCUGAGCGGGCAGGGUCCUGUGACGCAGGC
rnacentral:lncRNA from 1 species